rnacentral:rRNA from 1 species
GACGAACGCUGGCGGCGUGCUUAACACAUGCAAGUCGAACGGAAAGGCCCUGCUUUUGUGGGGUGCUCGAGUGGCGAACGGGUGAGUAACACGUGAGUAACCUGCCCUUGACUUUGGGAUAACUUCAGGAAACUGGGGCUAAUACCGGAUAGGAGCUCCUGCGGCAUGGUGGGGGCUGGAAAGUUUCGGCGGUUGGGGAUGGACUCGCGGCUUAUCAGCUUGUUGGUGGGGUAGUGGCUUACCAAGGCUUUGACGGGUAGCCGGCCUGAGAGGGUGACCGGCCACAUUGGGACUGAGAUACGGCCCAGACUCCUACGGGAGGCAGCAGUGGGGAAUAUUGCACAAUGGGCGGAAGCCUGAUGCAGCAACGCCGCGUGCGGGAUGACGGCCUUCGGGUUGUAAACCGCUUUCGCCUGUGACGAAGCGUGAGUGACGGUAAUGGGUAAAGAAGCACCGGCUAACUACGUG